UGUGUGUGAUGAAGUAGGGCCACACAGCUGCUCAUUAUGCUAACAGCUCCAGGGCUGUGUCUCCACCAAUCACAGUGGAUCCUACAGCACCGACUGCACCCUCAAAAAAACACAGAAGAAGAAGAGACCUAUUAGUGCUCCAUAUGUUGAACUGUUGCAUAUAGGGAGUUGUUUACAGGUGAUGAGUUGAUGAUGCAACCAAACCAGGUGUGUUCUCUGUGAUGAGUUGAUGAUGCAACCAAACCAGGUGUGUUUCUCUGUGAUGAGUUGAUGAUGCAACCAAACCAGGUGUGUUUCUCUGUGAUGAGUUGAUGAUGCAACCAAACCAGGUGUGUUUCUCUGUGAUGAGUUGAUGAUGCAACCAAACCAGGUGUGUUUCUCUGUGAUGAGUUGAUGAUGCAACCAAACCAGGUGUGUUUCUCUGUGAUGAGUUGAUGAUGCAACCAAACCAGGUGUGUUUCUCUGUGAUGAGUUGAUGAUGCAACCAAACCAGGUGUGUUUCUCUGUGAUGAGUUGAUGAUGCAACCAAACCAGGUGUGUUUCUCUGUGAUGAGUUGAUGAUGCAACCAAACCAGGUGUGUUCUCUGUGAUUUGUUGAAUAGUUUAAUCGUAAGAAGUUGUGAUUGUUUUUCUGAUUAUUGAUGUUUGGUUAAGGUAACGCCAGUGAAUUUGAACAAAAAAGUAACGUAUUCUAAAAACGAUCUGGUUUCCGUUCUCAUUGCGGGGAACAAAGGAAAAGUCUUAUCUUAAAGGGACAGUGCACGGUAAUCACAGUGGUUUGAGUGUAUGACAGUGGGAAAAAAAUAUUGUAGGACGACAAUUCGAAGAGAGAAAAAUAAAUUACAUGAUACAUCAAGAGAUUUAAAACGAACGACGUGAAGGGAUCAUCAGAAUUAUUGGGUGUCGUUGUAGGAGUAAAUUCCCUGUUCCCAGAGACAAGGCAUUCUCUGCAUUUUCGCUAAUGCUGGUCUGAGUUGUAAUUAGACAAGUGAAUAACGUAUUGGGAAUAGAGUUGUAAUUAAAAUAUUAAGUCAAAAGUCAUACAGGUAUUAGUAUGUGUGAUCUUCGGGAACAUGUGUUGUACUUUCAUCCCGAAUGACACAGCUCCGGACGGAUCUGUGACCAAAGCCUUAGCUGGUUUGACCACCCUGGCUCACGAGUUGGCAGAAAACUCUGGGGUGGAUCCUUCCCUGACUAAUUGGUUUGAUAGUACAUUUGGAAAAUGGAAAAGUGUUGUAAUCACGGUGUUUUGGGCUGUAUCUACCUGUAUGACUUUUAAUUUUAUGCGGCUGUUGUCUAAUUCCCUGUGUGCGAGGCCUUGUUUCCAGGACUCUGGAAAGAUCAAUGACCCAACAGAUGGUGCGUUAUGGGCCGAUUCCAGAUUCUGACCUGUGGAGGACUUGAAGGCAUGUCUACAGAGGAAGUGGACGAAUCCGGAUCUGUCAUUUGUGGGGAAUUUAUGUUUGAUGAGGCUAGUGUUGAGAUAAAGGGGAAUUAGAUUGUAAUUUGUUUCCAUGAUUAAACUGUUUUUUUAAUGAAGGCCGUGACGAAAAUCCGGAAGGAAGUGUUAUGAUUCUGAUGUAGGUUUAAAAACAGUUGAGUUAAGGUUAGAAUUGAUUAAUGAAAUGUGGAGAGUUGGAUAAACAUUUAUAAUUGA